GAUGAACGCUGGCGGCGUGCCUAAUACAUGCAAGUCGAGCGAACAGACGAGGAGCUUGCUCCUCUGACGUUAGCGGCGGACGGGUGAGUAACACGUGGAUAACCUACCUAUAAGACUGGGAUAACUUCGGGAAACCGGAGCUAAUACCGGAUAAUAUAUUGAACCGCAUGGUUCAAUAGUGAAAGACGGUUUUGCUGUCACUUAUAGAUGGAUCCGCGCCGCAUUAGCUAGCUGGUAAGGUAACGGCUUACCAAGGCAACGAUGCGUAGCCGACCUGAGAGGGUGAUCGGCCACACUGGAACUGAGACACGGUCCAGACUCCUACGGGAGGCAGCAGUAGGGAAUCUUCCGCAAUGGGCGAAAGCCUGACGGAGCAACGCCGCGUGAGUGAUGAAGGUCUUCGGAUCGUAAAACUCUGUUAUUAGGGAAGAACAAAUGUGUAAGUAACUAUGCACGUCUUGACGGUACCUGAUCAGAAAGCCACGGCUAACUACGUG
rnacentral:rRNA from 1 species